GAAAAGUAACUUGUGGCCCUUUAAAAAUCACACACUCUCAUAUGUAAUUAUUUUGAUGACUUUGCAAAAUGUGAAAGUCUUUUUCCCAGAUUUGUUCUUGAAUUGAUUUCUUUCCACAAGAAAGACAACCAAUUGUGAUAAACAAGAGACAACUGUGAAGGCGUACAUGAUUGAGACUAUCACAUCAUGGUUAUAUCCAUGAUGCUUUACAUAUCCAGUGUUGAUAACGACGGCGGGUCUAUAAAAGUGUCGCCAUGCCGGAAAAGAGAGAGGAGAUUAAAACGAUCUUCAUAUAGUUGUGAAGAAUAAUGAUGGUGAUUCAAGUGAAUGUGUAUUUGCAUGUCAAAAAAGAAAAGAAUUGAAGAAGAUGAACUCGCCGUCUAUACUAUAUUCAGUGAAAUGAAUAGUAUAUUAUAUAUUCUUUAGUGUAGUUUUAUGUAAAUGUACCAUAGUAUUUGAAACAUAUUUCUAUAUUAUUCCUUUAAAAUGUAAUAAUUUGUCAUGUCUUCAAAUUUGAUAGUUCUCUUCUCUGUCAUUUUGAGUGAUUGAUUGUAUGAAAUUCAUACUACAUUGAUUUAUGUGUAGUGAUUAAAACAAAAUUUGGCCGUUA